CUUGCUUCUUGGCCUUUUGGCUAAGAUCAAGUGUCGUAUCUGUUCUUAGCAGUUUGAAUAAACCAUAGAUCAAAGGCAAAUAAAAAAAUACACUGAACUGAGUGAAAUAAAAGUACAACAUAU
ensembl:snRNA U2 U2 spliceosomal RNA